rnacentral:rRNA from 1 species
CAGUCGCCACGGGAAUACAGAGGGUGCGAGCGUUAAUCGGAUUUACUGGGCGUAAAGCGUGCGUAGGCGGCUUCUUAAGUCGGAUGUGAAAUCCCUGAGCUUAACUUAGGAAUUGCAUUCGAUACUGGGAAGCUAGAGUAUGGGAGAGGAUGGUAGAAUUCCAGGUGUAGCGGUGAAAUGCGUAGAGAUCUGGAGGAAUACCGAUGGCGAAGGCAGCCAUCUGGCCUAAUACUGACGCUGAGGUACGAAAGCAUGGGGAGCAAACAGGAUUAGAUACUCCCGUAGUCCCUGUCUCUUAUAC